rnacentral:rRNA from 1 species
CCCUACGGGGCGCAGCAGUGGGGAAUUUUGGACAAUGGGCGCAAGCCUGAUCCAGCUAUUCCGCGUGUGGGAUGAAGGCCCUCGGGUUGUAAACCACUUUUGUAGAGAACGAAAAGACACCUUUUAAUAAAGGGUGUUGCUGACGGUACUCUAAGAAUAAGCACCGGCUAACUACGUGCCAGCAGCCGCGGUAAUACGUAGGGUGCGAGCGUUAAUCGGAAUUACUGGGCGUAAAGGGUGCGCAGGCGGUUGUGUAAGGCAGAUGUGAAAUACCCGAGCUUAACUCGGGAAGGGCUUAUUGUACG